UACGAAGGACCCGAGCGUUAUCCGGAUUUAUUGGGUUUAAAGGGUGCGUAGGCGGACUAUUAAGUCAGUGGUGAAAGCCUUCAGCUUAACUGAAGAAUUGCCAUUGAUACUGAUGAUCUUGAGUAUGAUUGAGGUGGGCGGAAUGUGUCAUGUAGCGGUGAAAUGCUUAGAUAUCGAGAGGAACACCAGUGGCGAAGGCGAGUCCCUGGACAACACCUGACACUGAGGCACGAAAGCUAGGGGAGCAAACAGG
rnacentral:rRNA from 1 species